GCUGACAGCGCGGGAGAGAUCGCCAACGAUUCGCCAAAGCGGGUCUUGGUGACGCCGAAGGAGCAACCGCCCCGGAAACUCUCAGGCAAAAGGACCGCGCUUCGUCG
rnacentral:ncRNA from 1 species